CAUGCAUUAAGACCAAAAAAAUGCUUUGAAGUAACUAAUCACAAUCACAAGGUUCAUUCGUGCAACUCCAAGAAGAAUCAACAUCUUCAUUGUAUAUUAAUCCUGUGUAGAUUGAAAAAAUUGUCAUCAUCAUAAUUACAUAACGCCCAUCAAACACCAUCUCCAUUAUGUCUCCAAGUUUCUGUGAUAAAAAAUAUGUAAUGGUUGCAUUAUUAUGAACAAAACUAUGUUCUCUCAUAUCCCAGAUACUUAAUGGUGCGUUUGGAUAGACGGACAUACCGAUCCAGAAUCAUUUGAACCAAAAUAUGGAGUACAAGCUUAGAUUAUCUGUUUGGUCUGCUUUAUGUCUGGGUGCAAUGCUCUCUGAUUUCUGGAUGGAGUGGUACCGCAAUCCAAACAGACUGUAAGUAAAAGGCUCUUGGGGAAUACAGCUAAACGAUCCAACUCAAAAAUAGGUUUUAGAAUUGUAGUACAGAACCAUAAAUCCAUAGAUAAGUGAAGCAAAAUGCAAUCAAGCUUAGUGGGCAAACCUGUGACACCAGCAGUACAUGGAGUAGAGUUGGCAUGAUCUCAUUUGUCCCCUUGAUCAUAAGAUGUCUGUAGAAGGUUAUCUAUCUGAGACAAUGGCUGCAAGGAAAUAAAAAAUGGAUGUAAAGUAGAAGGAAUGAAUUUACCUGAAAAUGCAUGUGCAUAUCGAUAUCCAACAAGCAAAAUGAAUUAGAAACAAGCAAAUCCAUUUCUGGUCUUUAAACACUACAGAUUUUAAAAAUCCAUGUGAAAGAGUUGGUAGAUGUGAUUCUUUUGCUACAGGAUAUGAUCUUGAAGCUGAACAGUGAUAUCCAUCUUAAAAUUUGCGUCUUAAAUAAGCAUAUCUCUAGUAGUGUUUUCCCAUAAUUUCUGACAGAGGUUAGUGUCCACUUAUUAAUCUAAUUCCUAACUGAUUCUGGAAGUCAGACCAUCGAGCUGAACAAGCACAACUCCAAUUUCUAGCAAUUACGACUCCGAGGACAACAGGUACAUUGACUUAUUUCCUUGCUGUAUUCUCAUAUAUACUUCACGCUAAGCAUAGCUAUUUAUUAUGUCCUAUUCAUGUUAGGUAUAAAUAUAUAUAUAAAUAUAUAUAUAUAAACAGGUCUAAAGACUCGCGCGGAGCGCGGGCAAUUUACUAGUACUCAAUAGCUUUAAGGACUUCUUUCUCAUCUCUAACAGUUUUCUACAAGAAAAGACACCAGAAUGGUGGAAUAAACCAUUCAAAAUGUAUGAGUUAGUAGUAUCGAAAGAAAGAAGUUAGCUGUACAGAAUGUUGAUUAAAAAUGUACCUGUUGUGUUGGAGAAAUGGACUAUGGUCCAUGGACCAGCAACACUCUGUUUUCCUUGGAGAAAAGAACGCAACCCUCUGUCAGGAACUAGUUUUGGAAAGCACAGAAGAAACACCUAAACUAUAAGAAUGCAAGCUUGUCAUGAAUAAUAAUCAAACAUUGGAUAGUCUCAUAGUUUUUAAUUGUCAGGUUCCAUUCCAAACUGAAAACUAAAACAUUUAGGAAGUCUAGGAUUUCAUGUCUUAGCAUAGAUAGUGUACAGGUGAUAUGUGCAUAAACAAGAAAACUGAGACCCUCCAAAGUUUCAAGAGUAACAUAUAAAAUUGUCGUAAAAAUAGUACUGGUUACAUCACAUAAAAAAUACUAAACUGGUAGGAUCUUCUUAGCAUUCAGUCACCUAUUGCUUAGCCAAAACAUAGGCUACAGGUCUGAAAUGUCCAUUUUAUUGAACCCAAAAAGGCCCUUUAGCGUUUAUAUGAUGUUUAUUCAGCCUAGACAAAAUUGAACACAAAUAAACAUCUUCAAGGUAUACUUUCCAAAAAAAUUCCAAACCGUAGAUUAGAUUUAAGACUAGAUGCCUUAUUAUGAAGCAACCAUAUGUACACAGGAGAUAAGACUCCUACAAGAUGCAAAUGAGAAUAGCAGAUAAGUCAGAAUGAACAUGAUUCAUUGAGAAACUAAGAAUCCAAAAAAAUUAUAAGGACCAAAUGAAGCCCACUAGCCCAGAACAACUGAAUGUUUCUUACUUGACAAUUGGAACUUAAUCAUAAAUGCUCCAAGUCUCCAACAGAAUCAGAUUAUGGGAUAUAAUAGAAAAUUACCUCAGAUCAACAACAUAUUUUUGGGAAUAUGUUACUGUUACUUAGUCGUUCUAGCACCUGAUUAUUGAUAAUUGCCUAUUUUAUUCCAAUGCACAAGUUGGCUACAAAUACAUGUGUUUGUAACAAUAAUUAUGCUUACUAUUUAUUGUAUUUUAGACCAUGCUUACAGAUACACGAUAUGCUAUACUAUUUAUUGUAUUUAGUACAUUCUUACAGAAUCUUGAGAUUGAAGCCCUUCUUCUCAAAACAACUGAUGAUCUCACCAAUCUGCAAAAAAAGAAUAAAGUUAACACAAACCAGUACAUGAUCGGAGCACCGUAUGCCAAAUCGAAUUGAAGUAAACAAACUGGGGAAUAUGGUGCUUACGAGGCUGCUCUGGAAAACGUAUGCUUGGACAUGAUGAAAAUACUCUCCAUUCCGUGACUGCAAGCGAGUGGGGCUUUGGGGCGAGGGCUAUUGCUAGCAAGAGCGGGGGCUGGAGCUAAGGGACGGGCAGGGCAAAGGGCGGGGAUCUUGGCGACCGACCCGGGCACCGGCGGGAGCGGGCUCCCCCAUGGCGAAGGACCGAGGUAUCGACGGGAGCAGGGGCUAACAAUCCUGGCAUGGAGGCCAGGUCUAGCAGCUGGGGCGCCGAUGUGGAGGGUGAUGGCGGCG
rnacentral:lncRNA from 1 species